UGUUAAGGAUUUUCUGGAGAUCGGAUAGGAGAUUGAGGUGCUGUGAAGGUGAGGUAUGAAGGUUGUUCUUGCGGUUAUGAAGCUGUGUACGGAGAUUGAACAGAUGAAGAUUGCUGCGAUUUUGAGAAGGUGAUGAAGAUGAAGAAAUUGAAGUGAGGGAUGAAGGUGAUGAUGAUGGAUUCAAGAAGAAGAUGGAAAUGGAGAUGAAUGCGAAUGGUGGAUGCAGAAUCGAAAUGGUGGGAGAUGAAGAGAGAGUUGAAGACUGAGAGAAGAUGUGUGUGAAUUAUGGAGAAUCCAGAGAGAGCCUUCUGAGUGAUGAAGAUGAUAUAUAUAAGGGCUGAUAGUGAACCUGGGAACUGGUUUUCAACACAUUUAAGCAAAGUGUUCAAAGAGCCCAUGUUAUAUUGCUUGGUCAUGAAGAAUAAUCAAAGACCAUGAGGUCAGGAUGGAGCACAGUUGUUAGAAGUGUGGCAACCUGGAGUUUUCUCUUGGCUGUAGGUUUAGGGCAGCAACUUGACUUGGUCCACGGUUUGACCAAAAGGUCAACAGUUGACCAAAGUCAACUAUUGGUCAAACACAAAAUCUUUUGUAAUUUUCUCUUCUAAUUCUUGUCAUGUGUUCUAGAACUAUAUGAUGGGUUCUAAACUCUUGUAAUGAGACUUGAAUUUUUAUUGUAUAUUCUUGUAGAACUUGUUAGAA